GCAGUGGUGGUUUAGUGGUAGAAUUCUCGCCUUCCAUGUGGGAGGCCCGGUUUUGAUUCCUGGUCAAUGCA
rnacentral:tRNA from 1 species